CCUCACAGACACUGUUUACACACCUCCACCAAUGGGACCUCUCGUGUGACGGGAGUUGCGUUCAGAACUGGACUUUAUCUACCUGGGGAUUUAUUUGCUGAAAUAUGCUUUGCUGCCCAGCUGGAGAGAGGAGCCUCCUGAGCAGCCAAGGCAACACGCCACAGGAAAGACAGAGGGAAAACAGCUUGCAAAGCACCCCGCACAAGUUCGCAGCAAGAGGAUCCCUCGCCCAGCGGCUGCCGAAACCGGCCCCGUGGCCGCCCCACUCGGGAACCGUGCGAUUCAGCUGCUCAUCCAGGCUCCAGCCACACCGCUGGCUCAGCUCGGCCACCCCGGGACUGAAGCAGCGAUGCUCAGGGGUGAACCCGAAGAAGACGACACCCACAUACACCGGGGUGAAGGCAGCAGAAAGCAAACACAGGACAAAGAAGGUUUGCUUCUGGAACCUGUCAAAUUCUCCAACGUUCUCCAAAAUGUCAUCUAGGGUUGGCAUUUUGGCAUCAAAACCCCGCCAAAAACUUCAUCUAGGUCUUCUCUGCAGCACUGAUACAUUUAGUUGGCAGCAAAGCUAUUUAAGUAACAAAGACAUUUGACCAAAAGUCAAGACUAACUCCAUAAAUUAUUAAACUACAUGUUGCAAGCUUUA